UGCCCAGGAGUAGAGGGUGCGGCCGGCUGGAGUGCGCAGCGCGUGGACCUGUAGCCAUCUGAUUGUAAUGGGCUACCGAGUCGCUGCUGCCGGAGAAGAGGUUGAGCGCGCUGGGGAUCUCCUCGGGGAGUAGCUGGAGUAGCUGGAGUAGCUAGCACCUCUCUCUGUGUCUGCCCUGGGUCUGGCUUGGAACAGGUGCCAAGUAAAUACAGAGGUUAGAAGAAAGCACAUUGCUAGUGGCAUUUAUUUGUUUAUUUUAUUUGGAAGAUGCCAAAAGGAGGUUCCAUCCCCAGACCACCUGUAGUGGAUUACAUGACGUGAGCACAUAACUGGAAGGUAGAAGUUUCCGCUCAGUAGACGGUUAUUUUUGAUUGAAUUGCUCUUGAUCGUCGUUAAUUCUACCAAACUCUGAUGACAGUUCCUCGUCAAACUGAGUCAUGAACUGGGUGCUUGUGUCGGGAUCUCUCAGCCCAUAUUGCUGCAGGAAUUUGUCCAGAUUCCAACCACCUAGAAACCAGACAGACCACAGAGGAACAGUAAGACAACAAGGUGAGCCUACUGUGAUGCGAGUGACCGUGUCUCGUGACAGGGAGUUAAGUGUAUAUAGUCCUAGGCGCUGGAGAAAGUUGAAGGAAGUGGUUAGAGAUAUAUCCCAUGAUCCUUUCCGAAAUCCUAAGCUUUGAGCACCGUGGGUAGAGGGUUGUCAGGAAAAUUCAGGAAGAACUGGCUCCAGCGGGUGACACACACAUCUGAGGGAACUGGCACUUCUUUUCUGUCCCAUCAGCACUGGGCAUGGUGUUGUGCAUAACUCAGCAUGUGGCAUUGUUCCCGGGGGUGCAGAGUGCAUUGGACAGUCAUGCUCCCUCUUUCCAGGAACUUCUCCCUGAAGUGCAAUGAGGCGGGGAGAGCAAGCAAGCGAGCAUCUGCUUGGAGGGUAAAGGCCUGCCACCCUGCUCAUGGAGCCACGCUUUCUGCCCUGGCUUCUGGAAGUCACAAGACGGAGAAAAUGGAGACAUCCAGUUGACAGACGUGUGGAGCACUCAGCCCUCUUUCUACCCCAGAAGGCUGUGCUUCAGAAAACAGCAGCACGUGUUGGCUUAUAUGAGGAGACAGCUCACGGAGAGAUACGAAAUACAAGGAGAAAUGGCUGACUCCCUGAUUGUCAGGACACCUCUCCACUACUCAGUCCAUGCUGCCUCGCCUCGUGGCUCCUUCUGAAGGGUUCAGUCACUCACUAGGCUCGCGUGUUUGACACUUGAUACCCAGU
rnacentral:lncRNA from 1 species